UACGGGGGGGGCAAGCGUUGUUCGGAAUUACUGGGCGUAAAGGGCCAGUAGGCGGCCAACUAAGUCGGAUGUGAAAUCCCCAGGCUUAACCUGGGAACUGCAUCCGAUACUGGAUGGCUUGAAUUCGGGAGAGGGAUGCAGAAUUCCAGGUGUAGCGGUGAAAUGCGUAGAUAUCUGGAGGAACACCGGUGGCGAAGGCGGCAUCCUGGACCGGCAUUGACGCUGAGGAGCGAAAGCCAGGGGAGCAAACGGG
rnacentral:rRNA from 1 species